CAUUUUGGCGAGGGCGUUUCAAGCGCGCCCGUCCCGUAAACACAAUCCAACGACUGGAUUUCUUAUUUCCUUGGCACAGUCUUCGAAACAAUAGAAAAUUAGGUGACAGUAACGUUCAAUUUUUCUUUCCGACACCCCCCGCAUCAAGAGACCUGGAGUUCAAAUCGAAGUGAUAAGAAGCAUGCGGAUCGAAUGCUGCAACAAGAACUGUAGCAAAUGGCAACUGACCAAUGAGUACAAUGAUCUGAGUGACGUACUAGACAUGUGGUUUUGCCACAUGAAUUCAGGUUUUCCGUUGUGGCCAGCCAUGGUUGAUAACUGUCCGAAUUCAUCCACAUGGUAUAAAGUACAGAGACCAUCGUCAGUUUUGUGUUGCAGACGAAACAUAGAAGCAUCGAUUACAAGAUGAGAUUGGAUGAAGCCUGUCAUUUGGCAGAUGCAGUAGUACCCUUGAGCAUUUCCCAGUGAUUGGAAGAAUGGUUUGCUCGAGUGGCUCGUCAAAAUCAACCUCUAAAAACAUCAAAAGCCAAUAACUGUCCGAACUCUACCAGAAGUCUUGUUCUGAAGAGGAAUGUUGUAACUCAAAAAAAGAGGAUCGGAAAGGAAAAGAGUAAUUGAAAGUUCAAAAUUGCUGACGUAGGCUUAAGUGGUGGUCUGCAAUGAUCGUCACGUGUCCAAUCCUCAAAACGCACGAACAUGUUCCCAAGUUUAAAGAACAACCGGGAUCAAACGAAAGUCCGGGAACCCCACCGAAUAUAACCUCAUCGAUUUUCAACUCGUUAGUCGCACAGAGGAGUGCAGUCUGAAGCUUGGUGUCGUGGCAUUGCGAUAGACUGAGCAAGUUGAUUUUCCAGUUUUUUAUUCACUCAAAAAUAAUAAGGGUGACUUUUAACAAUCAAUAACAUUUCACGUAUGAGAUUGAUAACUGAAUUAAUUGUUAUACACACUUUUUGCUUGGACACACUUGAUGUUUGGAGGAAAACCUGUAUCAACGUUUUUACCGACCACGAAAUGGACAGACUGUAAAAUAUAUACAUUCAACUGGAUCGCCGUACUCGUCGAAAAGAAGGGAACUCGCAGUAUUCUUUUUUUAAACGCUGUUACUGAUGAACCGAAGAAAUGUUAGAGAAAAAAAAUGUUCUUUGUAGAAAGCAAAUUACUUCAAAAAAAUUUUAUAGCACAGCAUUUUGUCGUUCGUCUAACUAGAGACGAACAAAGUAGAAUAUUUUCAUGCCAAUCAUUUUCUCGAAUAACAAGUGAAUUUCAACAACAUGAAAAAAUGUGAUUAAAGAUCCUAAAAAAGUUUUUGUACAUGGAGGAGCAUAAUGCACUAAUAAUCAUAAUAAAAAUCCAGCAAUAUAGUUGCGUAGACUCCUGUAACCAGGUCGACUUGGGGUCAAAGUUUUAUAACGAAUCAAAAAACAAGUUAGAAUUUCGUAAUCGACGAAUGCCGAAAAUAAAAAAAAAUGUAGCAAGAUUUCAACGAAAAUAAAACAAACCGCCGUAAGGAAUGGUCGAAUC
rnacentral:misc_RNA from 1 species